GCCAAAUCCCAGUUCACAGCAGCCUUGAUCUCUCAGGCUCAAGUGAUCCUCCUGCCUCAGCCUCCCGAGUAGCUAGUAUUACAAGUGGCACAUCAGCAUACCUGGCUAACUUUUUAAAUUUUUUUAUAAAGAUGGGGUCCCACCAUAUUGCCCAGGCUGGUCUCAAACCAACUUUUAAAAAUAGCCUUUAUUUUUUAGAGUGGUUUUAGGUUCACAGCAAAAUUAAGCAGAAAGUACAGAGUGAUCCCAGAUACUCCCUGCCCACACACGUGCAUAGGGUCCUCCACUGUCAACAGCUCCAACCAGAGUGGUGCAUUUCUUUCCAUCAAUGAACCUGCACUGACUUAUCAUUAUCACCUGGAUUCCACAGUUUACACUAGGAUUCCCUCACUUACAGACAUGCAGUUAAGUUUUUUCCAUGUCUUUUUGUGGUUUCAUGGCUCAUAUUUUUUUUUUUUUGUAGCACUGAAUACUGAAUAGUAUUCCAUUGUCUGGAUAUACCCCAGUUUAUUUAUUCAGCAUCUACUGAGGGUCAUCCUUGUAGCGUCUAAGUUUUAGCAAUUGUGAAUAAAGCUGCUAUAAAAUUGGUGUGCAGGUUUCUGUGUGGAUGUACAUUUUCAGUUCCUUUGGGUAAAUACCAAGGAGCAUAAUUGCUGAGUCGCCUGGUAACAAUAUGUUUAAUUUUGUGAAAAACCACCAAACUGUCUUCCAAAGUAUUUGUUCUGUUUUGCAUUCCCACUGGCAAUGAAUGAAACUUUAUUUUAUUUUAUUUUUUGAGACAGGAUUUUGCUUUGUCAUCCAGACUGGGGUGCAGUGGCCCAAACAUGGCUCACUGCGGCCUCAAUCUCCUGGGCCCAAGUGAUCCUCCUGCCUCUGUCCCCCAAGUAGCUGGGACUACAGGCACACACCACCAUGCUCUGCUAUUUUUUGUAUUUUUUGUAGAGAUGGGUUUUUGCCAUGUUGCCCAGGCUGCUCUCAAACUCCUGAGCUCAACGAUCUGGCAGCCUUGGCCUCCCAAAAUGCUGGGAUUACAGGUGUGAGCCACUGCACCCGGCCGAGACUUUUAUUUUAAAUCACAGAUGAAAGUGACUUGCUUAAGAUUACACAACUAUUAGUUGGUAGAGCAGCACUUCUGGUUCCAUACUCUGGGUAGUUUCUGUUUGACCACACUGUCCCCUCAGCUAGACAAGCCAAUCCCAUGCCCUUACAAACACUCCCACAUUUCCUGACCCUUGCUUUUGAGGCCUCAUUCUUGGUGCAGAAGCUUCCUGAGGCAUCCUUCUUCUGCUCCAUGAAGGAAAGACUGUCAUCCAUCCAGGUCCUGUGUCUGAGAAGCUUGCGAUGCUCUUGCAGUGCCCUGGCAUGCGCAGGGGCCAAUGUCCAGUUGUCCAAGCUUACCUGUGCCAAGAGAGGACCCGGGUGGCUCUGCAAGGCCCUCUUUCUAGUCAGAAGAGACCCGGCCAGCCCCAGAAUCUGAGGAGUCACUGGAACGUCAUCAGGGACUAGGAGAGGAAAAGGCCCCCAUGGCGCUCCCCUCUCUCCAGAUCCAAGCUCUUUCUUUGUCUCUUUUUGAUGCGAAAUUCACAUAACAUAAAAAUUAACCAUUUUAGGCCAGGCAUGGUGGCUCAUGCCUGUAAUCCCAGCACUUUGGGAGACCAAGGUGGGUGAAUGACAUGAGGCCAGGAGUUCGAGACCAGCCUGGCCAACAUGGAGAAAGCCCAUCUCCACAAAAUAAAUAAAAAACAACGAAAUUGACCAUUUUAAAGUGAACAAUUCAGUGGCAUUUAGCACAUUCACGACGCUGUGCAGCUACCACUUUUAUCUAGUUCCAACACUCUCAUCACUCCAAAGAGAAACCCCAUCCCUGUUAAGCAGCCAGUGUCGCUUUUCGCCCUCUUCCUAGCCCCGGACAGCCACCAAUCUGUGUUCUGUCUCUUUGGGUUUACCCAGUCUGGUAAUGGAAUAAAUGGAAUCAUACAACAUGUGGCCUUUUGUGUCUGGGUCCAAGUUAUUUUCCAUUACUCCCUGAGGAAGGAGGAGGAGAAGGGACCUCUUCUGCCUUUGUCUCCCUCCCCGUCCCUUGUCCACCUUGCCCUGUGCGCCCACCAGCAGCACCUGUGGCUCAGCUCCUCCAUUCUAUGCUAUUUCCUAUUUCUCUUUUUUAUUUUUUGAAAAAGGGACUCACUCUGUUGCCCAGGCUGGAGUGCAGUGACGUGACCGUAGCUCACUGCAGCCUCAACCUCCCAGGCUCAAGUGACACUCCCACCUCAGCCUCCUGAGUAGCUGGGACUACAGCAUGCACCACUACGGCCAACUAAUUUUUAAAACUUGUUUUUUGUAGAGACUGAGUUUCGCCAUGUUGCCCAGGCUGGUCUCGAAUUCUUGGCCUCAAGUGAUCCUCCUGCCUCUGCCUCCCAAUGUGCUGGGAUCACAGGCAUGAGCCACCAUACUCAGCCUCCUAUUCCUUUUUUUUUUUUUCAAUUUUGUACAUUUUUAAUUCUAAAUUUUCUCAUUACACAAAUAAAAAGUGAAGUAAUAGCUGUUGAAAUGUUGGCUCUAUUAGCAUAAAAAGAAUUUGCAAACGGUUAAAUAUUUCCAAUUUCAUAUCAAUGUCAUCAGUUGCUUUGAAGGAAAAAAACAGUUAAUUCCAAUAGUGUUUGAUUUUUAUUUUUCAUCUAAUUCAUAACAUCCUAUUCCUUUUAAUUACCCUUAGCAGAGUACUUUGAGGAGUCAUAGAUGCAUUCAACAAAUAGCCCAUAGGCUAGCAGCGGGGAGAGACAGGUUAAGUGUCAUUAAAACUGUGAUAAGGCAACACUAGCAGUUUUACAGAGAGCCAGGGGACCCAGAGGAGAGACAACUAAUUCAGCCUGGAGGUGAGGCUGGUGAGGGAAGACAACACGGAGGAGACAGAUGCGGGGCGGGGGAGGGCAGGCCGGGUCUGUCUUGUUCACUGUUCCUCAGCACUCAGGGUAGUUCCUGGCAACUAGAACGGGGAUGAGUGAACAAGUUAAUGAAUCAAGCAGGCAAUCUAUCAGCCAAGAGCUGAAGAAUUAAUAGGAGUUGUCUCUACCAGAAAAAAUGGGUAGAGCAUAUCUGGAGACUUGUAGGCAAGAGGGUCAGCCCUUUUAUUACACUGAGUGGUAUUUCGGUCUAGAUGAAGGUUGAAGAAGAUGGGGGGUAAGGACAGAAGAAGUUGGGGCCAGAUCAUGCAGGGCCUUGGAAGCGACAUAAAGGAGUUUGACUGAGUAAAAAGAGCGACCUGAGUAAAAAGAGGGACCACUGAAGGGUUUUGCGCAGAUGUACGUUUUAGAAACACAUCUGUCUAAUCCAGGCUAGGGAUAAUGAUGACCUAACGAGGCUCCCAGCAGACAGAACGUCAUUCUUGCACUCCUGCUAUUGGUGUUCUACUGGAAAACAGAGGUGUUUAAUCAAAAAUAACCAUAAAAAAAUUAAUGAAUUAAUCAUAAGGAUGCAAGGUGCUCUGAGGGAUGCUAUGAGUCAAGAAAAUCCUUCUCAAGACCAGGAGGGACUUUGAAAUCAAAACUUGGGAGAUGAACAGGAGUUGGCCAACACUGAAGCUUUUGGGAACGUCCUGAGCAACCUGUGGUGAAGGAAGUGAGAGAAGUCCAGGGUAGUUGCGGUGAAGAGUGUGAGGCUGGGAGACUGAUCGGAUGAGGCUGGGGCGAUAAGUAGGGCUCAGACCAGAACGACCCUAUUACACAUUUUGGACUUACCCUAAGCAAAAUAGGAAGUCCUUGAUGAUGUAAACAGGACCCUAUUUUGAAAAAUAGGAUUAAUUGCAUUUCUCUUUUGCAUUUCUGUGCAUGUGACCUUCUUCCUGCUCAGCUCAAACAUCUGCUUCCUUGGGGAAAGGGACUAGGAUUAUCAAAGAAAAAAAUGGAGAGGAAGAUAAUGAAUAGCUUCUGACCUCCAAAAUAAGAUUUUUCAGCCAGACAAUAGUCUCAAAAGACAUUAUUUUUAAAAGAAAAAAGAUGUUCUGUUGUCUUUAGCUCCCUCUUUAAGAUAUCAAGAAGCCCUGACAGAAUUAAUCAUGGGGCUUUACCUAAAGAAAAGAAUAGAAGAGAAACCCCUGACCUUUAGUCCAAAGGAUGGCAAGGAGGAGGCCAGAGAGAAAGCAGGUGGGAAGGAAGUCAGAUAUGCGUCCUAAUCUUCUAUCUUCCAUUGGAAGUCCCAGAGGGUGAAGAUGCCUUAGAAGAGAGAGGAACAGGUGGUCCUUUUAGGUCCCUGGGAAGAGAUUUCCUUGAAUAUCUAUCCAGAGGUCUUCACAUCAAAGUAAACUUGGUGGUUUGGUGUGGUUAGUCACAGAGAGGGUUUGAACUUAACCUUCUCAAGCCACCCUGGGUUCCCAUGUGGUGUGAAAAUGAUGUCUACGCUAGAUCUUUAGCUGUGGUUUUUGCUUAAGAAACUGACUAGAAGCAAAUAGAUUGAAAACCUACCAAGCUUUUAAAGAAAAUGUAUAAAAUUUUUUUUAAAAAGCAGUGAGUAUGGUCUGUCAUAACCUUAACAGUUAAAUCCUAAAACAAUCCAGGGGCCCCAGAACCUGCCGCAGCAAGAAGUAGGCUGUGAAUACCCGGGGAGCCCACUCACCAAUGCCCAUAUCGAGGGUGGCCAUGGAGGUUAGUGAACCAGGAAGAACCUCCCAGAAGGAAGAGCCCAGAGACACAGACAAUGAACAAAAUAAUUAUUCCCAGAGAGCAAAUUUUUCCCCCAACCUCUGGCUCCAGACUUUCAGAUAAGAGAAGAAAACCUUGUAUGUUCAAGGUUCUGUUGAUUUGGGUUUUCAGGCACAGGCGGCUGCAUGGAAUCCUAACGGAAGUACCUCUCCAAUAGGCUUGGAGUAGGAGCCUGAAGUAAUCAGUUUGGUUUUAGGGACCCAGAACCUGCAGCAGCAGCAGGAAAUAGCAGGCUGUGAACACUCAUAUCAGUUUGUUUUGGCUGCAAAGUGGGGACUGGAGAUGACUGUGGUUGUCUGGAUGAGAGAUGAGAGGGGCUUAUACUAGGAUGGAGGCAGUGGGGCAGGAUAGAACAUUCACACGGGGAGCAGACAGGACUUGGGGGUGUCUGCAUUGAUAUGAGGACUGAGCAAGAGAUGAGAGUCAAGGACAGGGAGAGGAAAGUUAAAAACAGAAAAAGGCAUUUCACAGAAAAAGUGGUUAGCAGUGCCAAAUGCUGGGCAGUAAUCAAAGAUGAUAAGGGCUGAGAUGUGUCUGUGUAAGAUUUUGUCACAAGGAAGUACAGAGGCUCAGGGCAGAGAGGGGAAGCCAGACUUCAGCGGGCUGACAGAAGAGUGGCAGUGAGGAAGUGGAUGCAGUAAGUAAACAUAACUUCACAAGACUCUCAGCUGUGAAGCUGAAAUGCGAGUGGGGCCAAGGUCGGUUUUUGUCAUGUUUAAGAUGGAUGAUACUUGAUCACAUUUAAUGCUGAUGGGAAAGGGCCCUUGAAAAGACUGACGUCAACCACAAAAUAAGAAUAGGAGGAAGCUGGUGGAAGAGGGUCCCUGAGAAGAAGGAGCACGGUGGGUACCCAGAGCUGGGCAAAGGAAGGGGCUUGGGGGCAGGAGGGGCCCUUCUCUGUCAAAUCAGGAGAAGGAGGGAAGGUGGGAGACAGAUGGCAGCGAUGGGAGAUGGAGGAGAUGCCCUCUGAUGGCCUCCAUUUUCUGUGAGGUGGAAGGUGACAUCGUCUGUAGAAAGUGAGGGGGCUGGGGGGCCUGAGAAGAGGGGAGCCCCUCUGGGGAACAAGAGAACACUGGCCGGGAAAACACAGAGGGCUCAGGACCAGGGCAGGGUGGAAACAUGACGUGAUGGUGGCACCCAUCUGAACGUCCUUCUGACAUCACUGCUAGUGCGGACUCUUGCGGGGCCUCCUUCCUCCCCCCGCCCACCUUUCCUGCACACCUGCAGCAAUAACCUCUCUAGAGUGGGACUGCGGCUGUGUCACCCCUCCGCCAUGCAGCUGCCCCAUUUGCAGCUUCCAAUACCUAGAAAUAAAUCUCUCAUUUCUUCUUACUUUUGGGGUCUGUUUAAAUGCCACUGAUUCUGGAAAGCCCUUUCUAACCAUCCCCCAGACUAGGGAAAGUCCCCUUGGUACCUGCCCCCAUGGUGCCUUAUACAUCUCUGUGAGACACUCGUGAACCUGUAAUUACUUAUUCUACAAUGGCCAGUAGCCAGGACAAUGGCCUGGGGUGGGGGUGGGGGCCCUAAGGCUUCCUUGUCCCCUCUGUCUUCCUGGAGCCGAGAACAGUGCCUAGCACAAAUAGGCACUCAAUAAAAGGCGUUGAUAGACUGACUAUAGAAAGGUUCAAGCCUGCCUUAGGUUGGCAGCUUAAAUUUCCAACAUCCCCAAUCAGCCCAUGCUCAGGACAUCCAGGCCUCCUGCACAGCCCCCAAAGCCAACCCAUGUUCUCUUCCCCUUGUGUUAGAUUGUUCCCUUGGCCAGGCACGCUUGCUCUCUUCUUUAUCCAUUUUUUUUUUUUUUUUUUUUUUUGAGGCAGGGUCUCACUUUGCUGUCCAGGCUGGAAUGCAGUGGCAUUAUCACAAUUCACUGCAGCCUCCACCUCCUGGGCUCAAGCGGUCCUCCCACCUCAGCCUCCUGAGUAGCUGGGAUCACAGGUGUAUGCAACCAUGCCCAGCUAAUUUUUUAAGUUUUUAUAGAGACGAGGUCUUGUCGUGUUACCCAGGCUGGUCUUGAACUCCUGGCCUCAAGUGAUCCACCUGCCUUGGGCCUCCUGAAGUGCUGGGAUUACAGGUGUGAGCCACCGUGCCCGGCUCCACUCCAUCUUACCCAUAGCCAUCCCACUUUCAGGCUCCAAUUUAGGAUCCUCUCCUCCAUGGAAUUGUCUCUGAAAUCCCCCCACCUGCCACAGGCCAAAAUGUCUGUGCUCCUUCUCCUUCCACUCCAACCAGAUUGCAACCUCCUUGAGGGCAGCUUCUAGUUUUUAGUUCAUUGCUAUUUCCAGUGAAAACAUUUGGCUGUGAAAUAAAGAGACACCUCAUUUCUAACACUGGCAUCAACAGUGUCUUAUAGAACUGUGUCCCAAGAGUGCCUUUGGCGGUGUCAUGCACUUAGUAGGAACACAAAAAUAUUUUUUAAUGAAUAUUUUCUCCCUCAUCCCUGUAAGAAUAUAAUGGUGACAGUCUCCAACUGCACACUAAUUUUUUUAAAUGCGGUUCUCUUAUGUUUAAAACACAAGGUGUCUGUUUUUAUCAGUGAAUGUAGUCUGUCUUUUCAGAUUUAUUCCAUCUUUGAGAAACAAAUGCAUGCCAUUUGCACUGGAUCAAGGUAGUAACUGUACUUGCCAGUGGAACAGACACACCACUGUGUAAGAAAAAAGGAAUUUCUGGCCGGGUGCAGUAGCUAACCCCUGUAAUCCCAGCACUUUGGGAGGCCGAGGCAGGUGGAUCACUACAGAUCAGGAGUUCGAGACCAGCCUGGCCAACAUGGUGAAACCCCAUCUUUACUAAAAAUACAAAAAUUAGCUGGGCUUGGUGGUGCAUGCCUGUAGUCCCAGCUACUUGGGAGGCUGAGGCAGAAGAAUCACAUGAACCCGGGAGGCAGAGGUUGCAGUGAGCCAAGAUUGUGCCGCUGCACUCUACCCAAACAAUAGAGCGAGACUCCAUCUCAAAAAUAAAUAAAAUAAAAAGAAAAAAAAAAAGAGAGAAUUUCUAAUGGAGUUGAGAUUUUCCAACACAUCCAGCAACAUUUGUCUCUUGGGUUACUGAAUGAGACCAUUUAUAUAAAGGCACAUGAAAAGGUUACGAAGUAUGGAAAUAAAGGGGAAACAGUACCACUAGUCUCUAUUAGUUUAUUUUCUGUGCUAAUGUUUCAUGAUUCUUUUUUAGUUCAGAAAAUAGAGUCACUGGGAUUCUCAGAAAUACUACCUAAAUAUAAAUCCAUAGAGACAGAAAGCAGAUUGGUGGUUGUCAGGGGUUGGGGAGGGAGGACUGGGGAGUAGUAGCUUAAUGGGUUUGGGGUUUUCUUUCUGGGUGAUGAAAAUAUUUUGCAACUAGACAGAGGUGGUAGUUGUAUUAUACAACAUCGUGAAGGUAAUAAAUGCCACUGAAUUGUUCACUCUAAAAUGGUUCAUUUUCUUCUAUAUGAAUUCCACCACAAAACAAAGAUAUGUCACCUAUAUAAUACUGAAUAGUUUCCAAAGGUCCUGAGGGACAAGGCAGCGUUAUGCUCUGAAAUAGCAGCAGAUCUGAAGGCCCCACAGCAGCCUGUACUUUGCCUUUGGAGAAAGAAGGGGGGUCCCCCGUGUCUAACCAGGGCCCUGUCCUCACAGUGCCCUCAGAGACAUUCAGCCGAAUGCCACUGCAGUCCAGGCCACUGCGGAGUGUUUGUGUUUUGGUUUGUUUUCCCCUUGGGCUUACAGAAGGACUUGUGAAGGUGUUUAGUUUGGUUAAGGACUUCCCACUUCCAGAGGUGGAGCCUGAAGAAGGUUCUAUUUUUUUUCUUCAAGUGAGUGGAACUUUCCAGGGACAACAACUCACAGGCUAUGGAUAGACUACGGAUGCACUUCACUGUGGCCUCUACUCAUGAGGGGCCUAAUGGACGAGGAGGAGGAGGAUCUGCCCAAUGGGCAGUCAUGGGGUAUAGUCCCCUCUCCACUCCAGGAAGGUUUGGCAAAGGCAGAAGCUGACUGCAAAGACUGGAUGGGUUGGGUGCAAUGGCUCACGCCUAUAAUCCCAGCAUUUUGGGAGGCCGAGACGAGUGGAUCACCUGAGGUCAGGAGUUCGAGACCAGCCUGGACAACAUGACGAAACUCCGUCUCUACUAAAAAUACAAAAAAUUAGCUGGGCGUGGUGGUGGGCGCCUGUAAUCCCAGCUACUUGGGAGGCUGAGGCAGGAGAAUAGCUUGAACCCGGGAGGCAGAGGUUGCAAUAAGCCAAGAUCACACCACGGCACGCUAGCCUAGGCAACAAGAGCAAAACUCUGUCUCAAAAAAAAAAACCCGAAAAAACAAAAAAAACAAAGAAGACUGGAUGGACUUGUCCUAACAGCUCACAGUGUCUCAGGAAACAGUCCUUUAGUUGUCUCAUCAGGUGUAAGAACAGCAUCCUAGACCAGGUACACAGUUGGCCCUGAAGGCCAUCAGACCUGUGUGAGGGCCUGGCAGGGCCCUGUGGCCAGCAGGGGCUGAGCUACCCAUGUACAAGUAUCCCAUUCACCCUUUAAACACACAGGCCAAAAGGAAAAUCGCACUCUUCAUUUCAAACAUGGCACUGGAGCCCAGAGCCCAGUGGCUUCACCUUAAUCAAGUUGCCUCCAUCAACACUGUCACAAAGGUCUAUGAUUUCAACUACUUAAGUUUCCCUCUGACUUGAGCCCGUCACCUCUUUUCAUAUGCCCUCACACAUACAUGGUCUCGUUGCUCAACAUGUUGGAAAAUAUCAGCUCCAGGAGAAAUUCCUUUUCCCUUACAUAGUGGCAGGCCUAAUGAACACAGAAAGCCUGGAGACUGGGUUGUGUUCACUUGGGGAACUCUAGGUCCAGCAAAAGGGGAUGGUCCCAGGGAUCCCUCACCAAGACAGCUUUCCUGGGGAAGCAGAUUGUGCUUAAUCCUCAAAACUGCAAAUUUGUUGGAAAUGUCAUCAAGAGUUAACCAUUACCCCAGGUCACUGAACUGGUUUGGGCCGAGGCAGCCUAGAAUGACAGGUGACUGCAACAUUCCCCCAACAGACCGUCUUAGGUUGAGAACCCAGUAGAGGUCGCCCCUUACUUUUUUUCUCCAUAAGAAACUGAAAAACUGUCUGGAUGCUUUGAAAGCAUUUACAGCUGCUCAGAGAAGCUUCUGACUCCAUCUAAUAAGCCCCUGGCAGCCAUCAACCUCUCUAAUUGCCCUAUAGGUGAAGAGGUGGGAAUUUAAAUAAACAGUGGAUUUUGAAGAUGAACAAUGUUAUGGAAGGGCCUAGGCAUGACAGCCAAGCAUCAAAGCAUGAGCACAUGUGUCUCUCUUGACAACAUAAUCCCCAAAGCUCAGAGAAGCUGGAUGUGGACCUCCCGAGCAUCUGCCUCCUUGGCAUUUAUACCACAAGGAAACAUACCAGUUACUCAAGAAAGUACAGGUAGCACUGAAACCCUCCAGAUUCCUUCUGGUUCCUUGUCUACUCAGGCAGAAGAGGUCAUUACAAGGCCCAAUGCUACGACUCUGAGUGGCCCUGUUCCCUAAUGCCCCUGGCUCACAUAAAAGGAAAACGAGGCCAUGUGCGGUGGCUCACGCCUGUAAACCCAGCACUUUGGGAGGCUGAGUCGGGUGGAUCACUUCAGGUCAGGAGUUCGAGACCAGCCUGGCCAACAUGGGGAAACCCCGUCUCUACUAAAAUUACAAAAGUUACCCAGGUGUAGUGGUGCACAUCUGUAAUCCCAGCUACUUGGGAGGCUGAGGCAGGAGAAUCAGUUGAACCCAAGUGGCAGAGGUUGCAGUGAGCCAAGAUCAUGCCACAGCACUCCAGCCUGGGCAACAGAGUGAAACUCCAUCUCAAAAAAAAAAAAAAAAAAAAAAGGAAAAGGAAGGCAUAUUGUUAUUCUUCUUAAGUAGGUACUCUUCUAUAUUAUAUAUUAUAUAUAAAAUAAAAAAGGAAAAGGAAGGCAUAUUGUUAUCCCUCCUGUUUACUUAUAUAUUUUACAUAUAUAAUAUAAUAUUAUCAUGACCCUGCUCCUUUACUGAUGAGGAAACUAAGGGUCAGAGAGGUUAAAUGGCUCUCUCCAAACCUCAAUAGCCAGUGAGUAUUGGGGGCAGGCCUAGGAUUUAGGGUCCCUGUGACUCCCAGCUCAGUGCUCUUGGUGUCUCCAGAGAAUGAGGCCUAUACACUGAGCUUGUCUAAAGCAUGUGGGAGGCCAGGCAUGGUGGCUGAUGCCUGUGAUCCCAGCACUUUGAGAGACUGAGGCAGGAGGACUGCUUGAGUCCAGGAGUUCAAGAAGCGCCUGGGCAACAUGGUGAAACCCUAUCUCGACAAAAAAUACAAAAAUUAGCCAGGCAUGGUGGCAGAUGCCUGUAGUCCCAGUUACUUGGAAGGCUGAGGUGGGAGGAUCACCUGAGCCGGAGAGGUCAAGGCUGCAGUGAGCCAUGGCUGUGCCACUGCAUGCCACCCUGGGUGAUAGAAUGAAAUCUUAUCUCAAAAUAAAAUAAAAUAAUAAAGCAUAUUGGAGCAAGUGGUAUAAUUUCUAGGGCUAAGUCUCAGCCAGCUGCCAGCCACCAUGGGCCUUAACUCAUGACAGGGUUUCGUCCCUAUCAUUCGCACUACAAGGAAAGAGUACCCCAGAGCAGAUGUUCCCCAAUCACCCUGGGAUUCCUGGUCUACAGGAUAAUGGGGGCCUGAGAUGACACUUUUAAGUGCUCAACACCUAACAGCCUGUGACUUUUCAAAAACAGAAGUCUAGAGAUGUGAUCACCCAACAUAUUUGCACGGUUUUCUGAGCCCUUUCCUGCUCGUGAUCUCAUCCAACCACCCUGACAACCUUAGCCAUACAUUUAAUUGGUUCUUUGAAGAUUUCUGGGUUUCCAGAGUCAACCUGUUCAAACAAAAUACCCCAAGGAAGGGAUAGCACCUUAUACUUUUAUUGGCUCACAGCUUGGCAAGAGUUGGCAGCUGGCUGAGAAUUAGGCCCUGAGAAGGAAACAGGAUCAGGAGGGAUUGGGAAGGGGUCAAAAGGGAAAAGAAGAAUGAGACGGGGCGGUAGACAUGCCCCGAUGCCCUCCCAGAAGCCCACCUCACAGCUUUGCAGAAAGAGGUUCUAAGCAAGCAGAAGGAAGUUCCCAGCUCCCCCAGCCCCCCUGCCACCCCACCAGCAGAAAAACCAACUUUACCCAUGAGGGCCAAAGGUAGAGAGGAAUAGAAGAAAAAGAGAAGAAAAAGGAGAGAUGGGAAGACAGAAUAAACCAACCAUCAGAGGCUCUUCAAUCUUAAUUCAUUUUAUUCUACAAAAUGCUACUCAACUGAAAGUGGAA
rnacentral:lncRNA from 10 species